AAAACAGGAAAAAUAAAGACAUUAGUAAGUCAUUGAGCACACCGAUGCUUAAGUCAGUUGACUGUAAGCAGAGAAUUAAGGUUUCUUAAUUCAAUGAACAAUUAUUAUCUCCAAGAGGUGGUGAUUGGUUUAUAUUUCACCAUUCGCCAUCUCGUAUCGUGCCUAGGCCUAGUAUGGGCCCAUAUUGAGAAUGAAUUAUUAUUUUAAUUGCCGUGUCCUAGUCGCGUUUCCGUAUUCCCAUACCCGUGUCCGUGCAACAUAGGGCCCAUGCCCCUUCUCCCCCUCCCAAGUUCACCAUUUCCUCCUCCUCAUUCCACCUAUCUCUCCCCUAUUACGCCUCUUUUUCUCACAUAGAAAUCAUGAUUACCCUCUCCUUCAAAGCACAUGGCCUCCUAACCCUAAAUCCUAAACCGAGAAGAUAUGCAGUUAAUCAUUAUGGUCAAUAUUGCGAAGUUCAAGAUCCUCUUAGCCAUAAGUUCUGAAUACCAUGUCGAC
rnacentral:lncRNA from 1 species